AGAGGAACCAUUACUAAACUAUAACGAAUCUAGUUCAAUAUUCCACCUACUAGACCACCUUCAACAUUCAAUAUACAAACCCCAAUAAGGGCCAUAACAGGGUUUGGAUUCAAAACCAUGACCACCCAAACCUGACCCAUUCCUUUUUGGUCUGGCAUUUCUGGGCUUGGGGGCUAAUGCUUUGAAAACUUUAGGCCUAAACUCCUAUCUAGAUUCAUUUAUCACCAAAUUCUCAGAAACUGAACUCCAAAGAUUAGGGCUUU
rnacentral:lncRNA from 1 species